GCGAUGUUUCGUGACGCAGUUUGUACAAGUUCGUACUUCCUGAUGUUUCAUGUGUCGGCUGUUUUCUGGGUUUUGUACAUUAGUAAUCCUUAUAAGGGCAAGGUAGUAGGAGUGUAAUAAUAAUUUUCUUUUGUAUACUGUUUAGUUAUGGCAGCAAAUGGAAAGAACACUGUCUCAUGGCAGUGUACCAAGGUAACUGCUGGAGAAGAGUGGAGCAGGAUAUUUAAACGGCUGUGAGGUUGAGCUGGUCCCGGUGAAGAAAAUAAGUGGCUGUAGCACAGUUAGCCCAAGUUGGGAGGGCUAACCACAAGACAUGCAGCAGGAGGCUUGGACUCAAGAAAGGAGACAAGACAGCAUUAGUCCAGAAAGACAGAUGAGAUGAACAUGCACACUCCUCCAACAGAAGCCAGUUUGUGUGAUUAACAUGAAAAUGCCAUAAAACUUCUAUUUGUUGAGGACUUUAUCAGUUGUCAGACAUGGAAAUUGAGAAUGAAACUACUUUUCCAUUUACUGAAUCUGAUGACCUGGCAGUUUCAUCCUGCUGUAUUACAGAACAUAUUAUUAUUAUUAUUAUUAUUAUUUCUUCCUUAUUCCAUUACAUCUGUAGUAGGCAAAAGCCUUAGAUACAGAAUUGUGUCAAUUUAU